UACGAAGGGGGCUAGCGUUGCUCGGAAUGACUGGGCGUAAAGGGCGCGUAGGCGGUUUGUACAGUCAGGUGUGAAAUUCCCGGGCUCAACCUGGGGGGCUGCACUUGAUACGUAUGGACUGGAGUGGGGGAAGAGGGUCGUGGAAUUCCCCAGUGUAGAGGUGAAAUUCGUAGAUAUUGGGGAAGAACACCGGUGGCGAAGGCGGCGACCUGGUCCUUGACUGACGCUGAGGCGCGAAAAGCGUGGGGGAGCAAACAGG
rnacentral:rRNA from 1 species